CAUAGAGGGUCGCCGGCUCUGGAUCACGCUCCCCUAGUCGU
rnacentral:antisense_RNA from 1 species